rnacentral:rRNA from 1 species
AUUGAACGCUGGCGGCAUGCCUAACACAUGCAAGUCGAGCGGAGCGGCAGACGCGGGAGGAAUGCCUAGGAAUCUGCCUGGUCGUAGGGGAUGACGUCCGGUACCGGGAGCUAAUACCGCUAACUCUCAGUUUAGCCUCGGUCGGAUUAGCAUGUUGGUGGGGUAAAGGCAUACCAAGGCGAAGACCCGUAACUGGUCUGAGAGGAUGAUCAGUCACACUGGAACUGAGACACGGUCCAGACUCCUACGGGAGGCAGCAGUGGGGAAUUUUGGACAAUGGGCGAAAGCCUGAUCCAGCCAUGCCGCGUGUAUGAUGAAGGUCUUCGGAUUGUAAAGCACUUUAGGUUGGGAGGCGGUAUCAGCAGAAUAAGCACCGGCUAACUACGUGCCAGCCGCCGCGGUAAUUC